rnacentral:rRNA from 1 species
AUUGAACGCUGGCGGCGUGCCUAACACAUGCAAGUCGAGCGGUAACAGGUGUAGCAAUACAUGCUGACGAGCGGCGAACGGGUGAGUAAUGCUUCGGAAUCUGCCCAAUGGUGGGGAAUAACCAGCCGAAAGGUUGGCUAAUACCGCAUACGUCCUACGGGAGAAAGCAGGGGAUCGUAAGACCUUGCGCCAAUGGAUGAGCCGAAGUCGGAUUAGCUAGUUGGUAGGGUAACGGCCUACCAAGGCGACGAUCCGUAGCUGGUCUGAGAGGACGACCAGCCACACUGGGACUGAGACACGGCCCAGACUCCUACGGGAGGCAGCAGUGGGGAAUAUUGGACAAUGGGGGAAACCCUGAUCCAGCGACGCCGCGUGUGUGAAGAAGGCCUGCGGGUUGUAAAGCACUUUUAGUGGGGAUGAAAAGUCCAGGGCUAAUACCUCUGGAUCUUGACCUAACCCACAGAGAAAGCACCGGCUAACUCUGUGCCAGCCGCCGCAGUAAAAC